ensembl:miRNA Gm27844 predicted gene, 27844
AGGCGCCUCUGAGCUUGUGCUUGUCGCCAGGCUGCGCUAGCGAGCGAAGCCCAAGCGCCAGA